UACGAAGGGAGCUAGCGUUGUUCGGAAUCACUGGGCGUAAAGCGCACGUAGGCGGAUGUGUCAGUCAGGGGUGAAAUCCCGGAGCUCAACUUCGGAACUGCCUUUGAUACAGCACGUCUUGAGUCCGAUAGAGGUGGGUGGAAUUCCUAGUGUAGAGGUGAAAUUCGUAGAUAUUAGGAAGAACAUCGGUGGCGAAGGCGGCCCACUGGAUCGGUACUGACGCUGAGGUGCGAAAGCGUGGGGAGCAAACAGG
rnacentral:rRNA from 1 species